rnacentral:tRNA from 1 species
UUAACAAAUUAAUGCUAUAUAAAAGUUAGAAGCUUUUUUUAUAUAUUUCUUU